rnacentral:rRNA from 1 species
CUGGCGGCACGCCUAACACAUGCAAGUCGAACGAAGUAGCAAUACUUAGUGGCAGACGGGUGAGUAACAUGUGGGUAUCUACCCUUUGGCCUGGAAUAACACGAGGAAACUUGUGCUAAUACUGGAUAAGUCUUUACGGAGAAAGCUUUAUGCACCAUUGGAUGAGCCCGCACUUGAUUAGUUUGUUGGUGGGGUAAUGGCCUACCAAGACUGUGAUCAAUAGCUGAUUUGAGAGGAUGAUCAGCCACAUUGGGACUGAGACACGGCCCAAACUCCUACGGGAGGCAGCAGUGGGGAAUCUUGCACAAUGGAGGAAACUCUGAUGCAGCGAUGCCGCGUGAGUGAAGAAGGCCCUUGGGUUGUAAAGCUCUUUCGUCGGGGAAGAAAAUGACUGUACCCGAAUAAGAAGGUCCGGCUAACUUCGUGCCAGCAGCCGCGGUAAUACGAAGGGACCUAGCGUAGUUCGGAAUUACUGGGCUUAAAGAGUUCGUAGGUGGUUGAAAAAGUUGGUGGUGAAAUCCCAGAGCUUAACUCUGGAACUGCCAUCAAAACUUUUCAGCUAGAGUUUGAUAGAGGAAAGCAGAAUUUCUAGUGUAGAGGUGAAAUUCGUAGAUAUUAGAAAGAAUACCAAUUGCGAAGGCAGCUUUCUGGAUCAUUACUGACACUGAGGAACGAAAGCAUGGGUAGCGAAGAGGAUUAGAUACCCUCGUAGUCCAUGCCGUAAACGAUGUGUGUUAGACGUUGGAAAUUUAUUUUCAGUGUCGCAGCGAAAGCGAUAAACACACCGCCUGGGGAGUACGACC